GUGAAACACGCACUCUCGCCGCCACACACAUCACAGAUGUACCGCCGAGGGUUAUUCUGAAAGAAAUGAUUGUUGAUUCAUCUUCGCUGCCUCCUUCAACAUCGCAGGCUGAUUCCACCAGCGAAGCAUCAAAACUUCGAAGCCGAAGGCUCUGCAUCCACAACAAACAGAGUCGAGUGCAGGAAACACAGAACCUGUCGUCUGCAGUCAGUGAAGCUCCGGUCCAGACUCCUGCACGAGGCCUCCUGCAGUAGCUUUGCUUACAGUGCCCCCUUCUGUCAUAUGAUACAACCAUAUAUACACAUUGACUCAUAUGCAUAUGUAUGUACACAGCACCAGUCAGUCAGGUUUUCACCUGACCUGACUAAAGUUGUGAGUGGCGCUUCGUUGCCCCCCCGCUCAUCUACCACAGUGGAAAAAUGUGGUGCUGCACAGGAAGCCAUGAGAUGCACUCGUGUGUAGGAGGUGCUGCUACGGUAGAAAAAGGGGGUAGCUCAGGAGUUUGGGUGCUUACUACAGCAGCAUCCACUGCUAUUUUUAACCCGACCGGUUCGUAACAUCUUGAGCGCCUCCACACAGAACAUUUAUAUUGAUAUAUAUUUAAGUGUAUUAUUUGAUUGCAGCUAUCGAACAACAGCAUAUUUGACUGCAGCUAUCGUACAACAUGUUAUAAUAGUUAAUACAACUUCAUCAAUGCAUUUUCUCCACUGUGUGCCUUUGAGACUUGAUUAAAAACGGGUUUGUCGAUGUAA
ensembl:lncRNA